UAUUGCUGCUAUUACAGUGUUCAAGAAUCUGUAAACUUUAGUUAUGCAGAGCUACAUAAGAAUUCAAGAGUCUUGAAGUACUAAUGUCUCCAUUUCUAGUAAUACUCCUUGUCUUUGAUCUAUUUUGUCUCAUAAUAAUAUAGCCACUCCAGCUUUUUUUCUUUUUUCUUUUAAUAUGCUGUUAACUAUUAUACUUCUAAGUCUACCCUGAUACGUAAGAGAAGGCUUCGAAGUCAAGCCAAUUCUUGGAAAACACACUGGAAUUUGCCAAGCAGGACAGAGGAGGAGGGCAUUCUAAGCAGAAAAUUCCAAAGGUAGGGAGUCAAAGAAA
rnacentral:lncRNA from 1 species